CCUACGGGGGGCAGCAGUGGGGGAUAUUGCACAAUGGGGGAAACCCUGAUGCAGCGACGCCGCGUGUGGGAAGACGGUCCUCUGGAUUGUAAACCACUGUCAUGUGGGAGCAAAUUAAAAAGAUAGUACCACAAGAGGAAGAGACGGCUAACUCUGUGCCAGCAGCCGCGGUAAUACAGAGGUCUCAAGCGUUGUUCGGAAUCACUGGGAGUAAAGCGUGCGUAGGCUGUUUCGUAAGUCGUGUGUGAAAGGCGCGGGCUCAACCCGCGGACGGCACAUGAUACUGCGAGACUAGAGUAAUGGAGGGGGAACCGGAAUUCUCGGUGUAGCAGUGAAAUGCGUAGAUAUCGAGAGGAACACUCGUGGCGAAGGCGGGUUCCUGGACAUUAACUGACGCUGAGGCACGAAGGCCAGGGGAGCGAAAGGGAUUAGAUACCCCAGUAGUC
rnacentral:rRNA from 1 species